CCUACGGGUGGCAGCAGUGGGGAAUAUUGGACAAUGGGCGAAAGCCUGAUCCAGCCAUGCCGCGUGUGUGAAGAAGGCCUUCGGGUUGUAAAGCACUUUCAGUGGGGAAGAAAGCCUUGGGGCUAAUACCCUCGAGGAAGGACAUCACCCACAGAAGAAGCACCGGCUAACUCCGUGCCAGCAGCCGCGGUAAUACGGAGGGUGCGAGCGUUAAUCGGAAUUACUGGGCGUAAAGCGCGCGUAGGCGGUCUGAUAAGCCGGUUGUGAAAGCCCCGGGCUCAACCUGGGAACGGCAUCCGGAACUGUCAGGCUAGAGUGCAGGAGAGGAAGGUAGAAUUCCCGGUGUAGCUGUGAAAUGCGUAGAGAUCGGGAGGAAUACCAGUGGCGAAGGCGGCCUUCUGGACUGACACUGACGCUGAGGUGCGAAAGCGUGGGUAGCAAACAGGAUUAGAUACCCCAGUAGUC
rnacentral:rRNA from 1 species